GGUCAAGUGAAGAAGCGCAUACGGUGGAUGCCUUGGCAGUCAGAGGCGAUGAAAGACGUGGUAGCCUGCGAAAAGCUUCGGGGAGUCGGCAAACAGACUUUGAUCCGGAGAUCUCUGAAUGGGGGAACCCACCUAGGAUAACCUAGGUAUCUUGUACUGAAUCCAUAGGUGCAAGAGGCGAACCAGGGGAACUGAAACAUCUAAGUACCCUGAGGAAAAGAAAUCAACCGAGAUUCCCUUAGUAGUGGCGAGCGAACGGGGAUUAGCCCUUAAGUUUCAUUGAUUUUAGCGGAACGCUCUGGAAAGUGCGGCCAUAGUGGGUGAUAGCCCCGUACGCGAAAGGAUCUUUGAAGUGAAAUCGAGUAGGACGGAGCACGAGAAACUUUGUCUGAACAUGGGGGGACCAUCCUCCAAGGCUAAAUACUACUGACUGACCGAUAGUGAACCAGUACCGUGAGGGAAAGGCGAAAAGAACCCCGGAGAGGGGAGUGAAAUAGAACCUGAAACCGUAUGCGUACAAGCAGUGGGAGCCUACUUGUUAGGUGACUGCGUACCUUUUGUAUAAUGGGUCAGCGACUUAUAUUCAGUGGCAAGCUUAACCGUAUAGGGUAGGCGUAGCGAAAGCGAGUCUUAAUAGGGCGUUUAGUCGCUGGGUAUAGACCCGAAACCGGGCGAUCUAUCCAUGAGCAGGUUGAAGGUUAGGUAACACUGACUGGAGGACCGAACCCACUCCCGUUGAAAAGGUAGGGGAUGACUUGUGGAUCGGAGUGAAAGGCUAAUCAAGCUCGGAGAUAGCUGGUUCUCCUCGAAAGCUAUUUAGGUAGCGCCUCAUGUAUCACUCUGGGGGGUAGAGCACUGUUUCGGCUAGGGGGUCAUCCCGACUUACCAAACCGAUGCAAACUCCGAAUACCCAGAAGUGCCGAGCAUGGGAGACACACGGCGGGUGCUAACGUCCGUCGUGAAAAGGGAAACAACCCAGACCGCCAGCUAAGGUCCCAAAGUUGUGGUUAAGUGGUAAACGAUGUGGGAAGGCUUAGACAGCUAGGAGGUUGGCUUAGAAGCAGCCAUCCUUUAAAGAAAGCGUAAUAGCUCACUAGUCGAGUCGGCCUGCGCGGAAGAUGUAACGGGGCUCAAACCACACACCGAAGCUGCGGGUGUCACGUAAGUGACGCGGUAGAGGAGCGUUCUGUAAGCCUGUGAAGGUGAGUUGAGAAGCUUGCUGGAGGUAUCAGAAGUGCGAAUGCUGACAUGAGUAACGACAAUGGGUGUGAAAAACACCCACGCCGAAAGACCAAGGGUUCCUGCGCAACGUUAAUCGACGCAGGGUUAGUCGGUUCCUAAGGCGAGGCUGAAAAGCGUAGUCGAUGGGAAACAGGUUAAUAUUCCUGUACUUCUGGUUACUGCGAUGGAGGGACGGAGAAGGCUAGGCCAGCUUGGCGUUGGUUGUCCAAGUUUAAGGUGGUAGGCUGAAAUCUUAGGUAAAUCCGGGGUUUCAAGGCCGAGAGCUGAUGACGAGUCGUCUUUUAGAUGACGAAGUGGUUGAUGCCAUGCUUCCAAGAAAAGCUUCUAAGCUUCAGGUAACCAGGAACCGUACCCCAAACCGACACAGGUGGUCGGGUAGAGAAUACCAAGGCGCUUGAGAGAACUCGGGUGAAGGAACUAGGCAAAAUGGCACCGUAACUUCGGGAGAAGGUGCGCCGGCUAGGGUGAAGGAUUUACUCCGUAAGCUCUGGCUGGUCGAAGAUACCAGGCCGCUGCGACUGUUUAUUAAAAACACAGCACUCUGCAAACACGAAAGUGGACGUAUAGGGUGUGACGCCUGCCCGGUGCCGGAAGGUUAAUUGAUGGGGUUAGCGCAAGCGAAGCUCUUGAUCGAAGCCCCGGUAAACGGCGGCCGUAACUAUAACGGUCCUAAGGUAGCGAAAUUCCUUGUCGGGUAAGUUCCGACCUGCACGAAUGGCGUAACGAUGGCGGCGCUGUCUCCACCCGAGACUCAGUGAAAUUGAAAUCGCUGUGAAGAUGCAGUGUAUCCGCGGCUAGACGGAAAGACCCCGUGAACCUUUACUGUAGCUUUGCACUGGACUUUGAGCCUGCUUGUGUAGGAUAGGUGGGAGGCUUUGAAGCGUGGACGCCAGUUCGCGUGGAGCCAUCCUUGAAAUACCACCCUGGCAUGCUUGAGGUUCUAACUCUGGUCCGUGAUCCGGAUCGAGGACAGUGUAUGGUGGGCAGUUUGACUGGGGCGGUCUCCUCCUAAAGAGUAACGGAGGAGUACGAAGGUGCGCUCAGACCGGUCGGAAAUCGGUCGCAGAGUAUAAAGGCAAAAGCGCGCUUGACUGCGAGACAGACACGUCGAGCAGGUACGAAAGUAGGUCUUAGUGAUCCGGUGGUUCUGUAUGGAAGGGCCAUCGCUCAACGGAUAAAAGGUACUCCGGGGAUAACAGGCUGAUACCGCCCAAGAGUUCAUAUCGACGGCGGUGUUUGGCACCUCGAUGUCGGCUCAUCACAUCCUGGGGCUGAAGCCGGUCCCAAGGGUAUGGCUGUUCGCCAUUUAAAGUGGUACGCGAGCUGGGUUUAGAACGUCGUGAGACAGUUCGGUCCCUAUCUGCCGUGGACGUUUGAGAUUUGAGAGGGGCUGCUCCUAGUACGAGAGGACCGGAGUGGACGAACCUCUGGUGUUCCGGUUGUCACGCCAGUGGCAUUGCCGGGUAGCUAUGUUCGGAAAAGAUAACCGCUGAAAGCAUCUAAGCGGGAAACUUGCCUCAAGAUGAGAUCUCACUGGGAACUUGAUUCCCCUGAAGGGCCGUCGAAGACUACGACGUUGAUAGGCUGGGUGUGUAAGCGUUGUGAGGCGUUGAGCUAACCAGUACUAAUUGCCCGUGAGGCUUGACCAU
rnacentral:rRNA from 1 species